CAUCUGGCGACAGUCGUCCAAUGUUGUUGUCUGAUUAGGACCUUCGUUGCCGAAAAGAAAAAUGAAAAAAAUAUGGCGACCGAACACGUUGCGACUUGCGAGUGUCGGUGGUGUCGGUUAAGAGCGUUAAGAGGCGUACACAUCAAGAAUUCGUGCUAGUGAAACAGCAAUGCAAAGCACCGCGUGUGAAUUGUCCUUAGAGAGAAGAAAAAAAUUUCACACAGUUAGUAAGAUAUGACAACACAAAGAUGAAGAAUUUACUAAUUUAGCCCUGACUGCUGGUGUGGAGUUGGCGCCAAUUUGCUGUUAGCCCCUUUUGUGAUGUCAUGGUGAUGUGUUCAAUGUCAAGUAAUGCAUAUUAAUAGCUGGACCUGCUGGACCCUGACAUAUUAUUACUCGCACUUGAGGCUGGUAAAUUCUGAGCUUCUGUGUGUCAGUCAAAGGUGCUAUGUGCAGAUUGUUUUGUUGCAGCCAGCCAGCAGUGAUGGGUGUUCUUCUUGCUACCUUUACCAGCUGUAUGUUUCAUAAUUGCCGAAAUGUCGGCGAUUGUUAGCUGUACCUAUUCGGCUCUACGUCUCAUCUCGUGCAUUAUCACUAAAGAGCUUGUAAAUUCAGAGACAGAGAUCCCUUCGCACAACUGUUGCAGAAAUUGAAAUCACAACAAAGUCUGAGCUUCAUGGGUGUCGUUCAUUUAACAUGGUUUUGUUGCAGCCAGCUGGUGAAAGGUGUGAUCGAGACAAGUUGAGCUGCAGCUGCUGCAUGCAGUUUAUUAAGCUGGUGUUAUCUGAAGUGUCACUGCAGGAAAACUUCUUAAAUUGGAGUUCGUGGUUGGUUGGAUGUUUAUUCUGGUGUUGCUGUUUUGUGUACAGUGGUUUUGCAGCCCCUUUCCAAUUGAGAGAUGCUCUGAAAUGGAGUUUGGUGGAGACUUGCAGUUCAACAUAACACUUAAAUGUGUCAUUUGCCUAUGUUGGUGUCCAUGCAGUAAAUGCAGUAUUGAACAGUUGGGUAACAUGGUAAAUGUUGCCUGAUGGCUGUCGGGCUUAUUUUAUCGGCUGUGUUUUGUCGAUAUGUCGUCCCUCCCCUCCCCCUCCGCUAGAUACGACAUGAAGCUUUUGCUUUCGCAGAAAAUAAUGUGAAUUUGUUUGCAACGAUCUUUUAUAUAUCCGAGCCGAGUCCUUUCCGUCUACAUUCGGUGUGAAGAGCAAAACCCGAAUUUCAACACAUUUUUCUGCUUAGCAACGAAACAAAGCGAGUGUCAAAACAUGGUCUUACUUGCGCAUACUUUAUUGUGGCAGAAACGCGUUGGUCAUGUUACAGGGUGAAAUUUUUUUCCCUUUUGUUCAUGCAGCAUCAAACGACAGGCGAUAGGUUCCGGCGGUCAUCAACUAUUCAAGAUGGUAGGCCUGUCAAUGUAAAAGACCGGGUAAGGGUAGCUCCUGUAAAUGUUAUUCAUUUAUGUUAAAUAGCUGCUAGUAGGAUCUCAUUGUUGAUUUGCGGUUACAAAAUCCAUAGCCCUAGAGUUCAGGUAUUGUCAAUCAUUUGAUUUGCGUUUUAGAUGCUCCUCAAUCAGUUGUGGAAAUACGAUCCCCCCCCCCCCGCUUCUCCUGGAUGGUUACUUAGGAUCAUUUAAGUUCAUAUUUGAGUUAUGCGUUGUGAACGUAACGGACGAACUCUGACAGUCUAUCGAAUUUUAGCAGUUGCGUCUAAUUUCUUAUUUUAUUGAUUUUAUUCAACCGUUUUAUGAGAAGCUUUGUAUUUUUUAAAUUAAUAAUUUACCUUUUUUUAAUCUUUUUUUUUUUAAAGAUUUUCUUCUCCGACCGCAGGUGCAAGGAUUACGUGUUUGAAACUUAGAUAAGUUUGCAGUAGAAUAUUUUCAAAAAAAGCCGACUCUCCUUCAAACGGUUCGAAAUACCCAUCCCCAGCAACGUCAACCUACAGAAAGAAAAAGGCUAGUUUCUAUGGCCUUGAAGCUCGCGGUGAUCAUUACGCAAAACGUGUCAUGCAGUGGUGUAGAGGUUGGGUGAGAACGACACGUGUUGCUUCAUUAUCAAAAAGGUCCAACAGCCGCAAGGCUUAGGAGGUGAGGGUGAGGAAAAAAUCGAGUGAGCAUCUCCGACACGUCAACAACUCCAUACUUCGUCGUAAUAUCAGUUCGCAAUCAUGGUUAAUUAUGGCGGUAUGUUGCUGCCGGAUGUUGAUCGUUGAUGUCGACUACGAGAGGAAAUUGUAUUAAAGGAAAUAGAAAAGGCGACAGAAGUCAAUCAAGUGAGCAUCUCCGACCCGUCAACAACUGCAUUUAUCGUCGUAUUAACAGGUCGCAAUCACGGUUAACUAUGGCGUCGUGCAGCUAUUGGUUGUUUCGUCGAUUUCUGGGUCGACCACUGGUGUGCUGAUGCCCCUGGGUAUGGCGGAUACCAAACCGCAACGCCGCCGCCUUACUACACAACAGCAAACGCAACGACCAGUUACUACACCGAGGUUGCACAGUUAGGUUUACAGUUACACCACCAAGGGUCCAGGUACACCACAACUUGUGCUGCUCCGAGCUACUACACCGAAGACCAGAAGUUUUAUUCUUCCCCGGGCUACACUACUAAAUCGCAUGUGCACACCCCCAAGGCUCGGAAGUACUAAACUCCCUAGGCACCUGAGACUACACAACUACGUAUGCUGUCCCAAGUAGUACACCAAGGCUCCAAAGUACUGCAGCACUAAGGCACUGGACUACUACACGACUAUACAUGCUGCUCAACCUACGACACCGAGACUCCAGCUUAUUACACCACCAAAGGGGUCGAACACAGUGGCGCCCAAGUACGUAGCAUCUCCGACACCGAACACGGCAGCCCCGAAGUUUCGAAUAAUCUUCGUUUCAAACAGUGGAACGACAAAGAGUGAGGCAAAGAUACCGUCGGCGUAGCAUUCGUACGUGUACACCGCGUUAAACUUGACAUUGUCGGUCGGAAAGCCGAACUUGACGAUGGCCGUACCAUCACCUACGACAAGUGCGUUAUUGCCACAGGUGGUAUGUCUUUUCCGAUCCCUGAGCGGUGCCCUCAAAGAUGCCCACGAGCACGUAACGCUGUUCCGCAACAUCGAUGGCGGUAACAUAGGCCGAGUCCUCCCUAAAUAUUUGAGCCAAUGGACUUCCGAGAAGGUGAAAGCGCAAGGUGUCAAUGUGUUGCCCAAAGCUAAUGUUGAGGGUGCAAUUUUGGAAGACUACAAGCUGGAGAUGUUGCGUUCUUUUGUGAUAUCAAAUUGGGUCGUCGUCCGAUGGAACAUCAUCACUUUGCUGUUGUAUCAGGGCGAUUGGCUGGAGAGAACAAUACUGGCAACGAAACAUGGAUGAACAACUGCAGUGCACUGUCACCAAGUGCAUUCUUCGUCGUAUUAUCAGUACGCAAUCGGUGUCGUGCUGUUGCCGUUUGUCGUAUCGUUGAAGGUUGGGUCGAUCACUGGUGUACCCAUGUCUCCUGGGUAUGGCGGAUACCAAAGCACCACGCCGUCGCCUUGCUACACAACGACAACAUUCGCACCAACCGGUUACUGCACUGAGGGCCACAAUUACUACACCACCAAGGCUCCAGAGUAUUACACCGCAGCUAAUGCUGCCCCGAGCUAAAUCACCAAAGAUCCUGAGUACUACACCGAGGCUCCCAAGUACUACACCACCAAGUCACCGGAGUACUACACGUAUGAUGCCCCAGCUUAUGCACCGAGGCUCCAACUUAUUACACCACCAAAGCGGCUGAAUACUACACCGAGCCGCCCAAGUACUACACCACCAAGGCUCCAGAGUAUUACACCACAACUUAUGCUUCCCCGAGGCACUACACUGAAGCCCCGAAGUAUUACUCUGCCUCAAGCUACACAACUACAACUGAGGCGGCCAAGUAUCACGCAGCCCCGACUUACUACACAGCGGCUGCUCCUUCGUACUACGUUGAACCGGAAUACUACACCGAGGCUCCAGUUUACUACACCACAACCUACGCUACACCUAGCUACUACUACAUCGAGGCCCCUAAGUACUACGCUACCAAGGCACCUGAGUAUUAUACCACUACUUUCGCUGCUCUGACCAGCUACACCGAAGCUCCGAACUAUUACUCUAUCCCGAGUUACUACACCACUAAGGCACCUGAAUAUUACGCCGCACCCUACGCUUCUCCAACUUACUAUAGCGACGUUUUCUGAUUUUUAUUGUAUCUUUCCUAUUUCGCAUGUUGGAAGUGACUAUUGCUCUAUUCGCUCUGCAUUCCGACAUGUUCUGAUGUGGGACGAACUUCAUUUACAGGGAAAGUUACGAAAGAAACGUAUUGUGGUGUUUACUUAAAAGAAAAAUGAUGUUAACAGCUCUGUUUUUAACUUUAUUUGGUGUUACAAAGGGGUUGCAGAUUGUGUUUGGUUUCUCAUAGAAGUUUAUUUGAAGGGUCUGGAGUUGAUCAGAGUCAGAAAGUCAUUUGCCUAUAACAUAUGUAAAACUUCAAAGUUGUAAAAAAUAUACAAGUCGUGAACUAAAAA